AGUAGUUUGAUCCGUGGCUCGAGGACGAACGCUGGCGGCGUGCUUAACACAUGCAAGUCGAACGGAAGACUUCGGUCUUUAGUGGCGAACGGGUGAGUAAAGCGCAGGUAAUCUGCCGCAAAGUCGGGGACAACGUUCCGAAAGGGACGCUAAUACCGGAUGUUGUGUAAGGGUCGCAUGACUUUUACACCAAAGAUUUAUCGCUUUGCGAGGAGCCUGCGUCCGAUUAGGCAGUUGGUGUGGUAAAGGCGCACCAAACCGACGAUCGGUAGCCGGUCUGAGAGGAUGAACGGCCACAAUGGAACUGAGACACGGUCCAUACUCC
rnacentral:rRNA from 1 species